UCCUACGGGAGGCAGCAGUAGGGAAUCUUCCGCAAUGGACGAAAGUCUGACGGAGCAACGCCGCGUGAGUGAUGAAGGCUUUCGGGUCGUAAAACUCUGUUGUUAGGGAAGAACAAGUGCUAGUUGAAUAAGCUGGCACCUUGACGGUACCUAACCAGAAAGCCACGGCUAACUACGUGCCAGCAGCCGCGGUAAUACGUAGGUGGCAAGCGUUAUCCGGAAUUAUUGGGCGUAAAGCGCGCGCAGGCGGUUUCUUAAGUCUGAUGUGAAAGCCCACGGCUCAACCGUGGAGGGUCAUUGGAAACUGGGAGACUUGAGUGCAGAAGAGGAAAGUGGAAUUCCAUGUGUAGCGGUGAAAUGCGUAGAGAUAUGGAGGAACACCAGUGGCGAAGGCGACUUUCUGGUCUGUAACUGACACUGAGGCGCGAAAGCGUGGGGAGCAAACAGGAUUAGAUACCCUGGUAGUCCACGCCGUAAACGAUGAGUGCUAAGUGUUAGAGGGUUUCCGCCCUUUAGUGCUGAAGUUAACGCAUUAAGCACUCCGCCUGGGGAGUACGGCCGCAAGGCUGAAACUCAAAGGAAUUGACGGA
rnacentral:rRNA from 1 species